rnacentral:lncRNA from 1 species
CAGUUUCAAGAGGUGUGGUGAGCUUCCUGGGCCUGCUGACUUCAGUGUCACAUCCCAGAGCUUCGUCUACUGAAACACCCGGCUAAUGGACGCAGCCACGCAUCGUAACAGUCCGCCCACCAAGCCUCAGGUGGCUUGGCUCUUUACAGAAAUUCACAAUCAUUCCACAUGGCCUACCUGAAGAGGCCUGCUAACACAUUUGGACGGAAUCCUUUUGUUCUGUCACCCACACUCUGGUCCCAGCAGUGCCGGUGGGAAGAUACACGGGACCAUGACUGCCCACGGGUUGCCCACUCAAGCCACUCUCUGUAAUUGGCCUAAUGAAGGUGUUAUGCAACACUGUGACAAAUGUUAACUUUAUGU